rnacentral:rRNA from 1 species
AGUGAACGCUGGCGGUAGGCCUAACACAUGCGAGUCGAACGGCAGCACAGUAAGAGCUUGCUCUUACGGGUGCGAGUGGCGGACGGGUGAGGAAUACAUCGGAAUCUACUUUUUCGUGGGGGAUAACGUAGGGAAACUUACACUAAUACCGCAUACGACCUACGGGUGAAAGCAGGGGAUCUUCGGACCUUGCGCGAUUGCAUGAGCCGAUGUCGGAUUAGCUAGUUGGCGGGGUAAAGGCCCACCAAGGCGACGAUCCGUAGCUGGUCUGAGAGGAUGAUCAGCCACACUGGAACUGAGACACGGUCCAGACUCCUACGGGAGGCAGCAGUGGGGAAUAUUGGACAAUGGGCGCAAGCCUGAUCCAGCCAUACCGCGUGGGUGAAGAAGGCCUUCGGGUUGUAAAGCCCUUUUGUUGGGAAAGAAAAGCAGCAGGUUAAUACCCCGCUGUUCUGACGGUACCCAAAGAAUAAGCACCGGCUAACUUCGUG